rnacentral:misc_RNA from 1 species
AAGUCGUAACAAGGUCUCCGUUGGUGAACCAGCGGAGGGAUCAUUACCGAGUUCUUACACUCCCAAACCCACUGUGAACCUUACCCGAACGUUGCCUCGGCGGGACCCGUCCCGCCGGGGGACCCAAACUCCUGUAUCUCUUUGCGGCAUGUCUGAGUGGAUUUUACAAAUGAAUCAAAACUUUCAACAACGGAUCUCUUGGUUCUG